CAACCUUCCCAACCACAUACACCAUAUUUUCUCUUCGGCCUUGCUGCGUGUGAUAGUGCGUCGUGCUGUGCAUUUUCCAUCAAAAAAGUUAUUGAAAACGCACCAUUUUGCUACAAAUUUUCCCUAUUUUGGAAACUCACGUCACGCACUACAUCAGGUGAACGCAUCUCGCACCAACACCACACCCUCCCCAAAACCCACUUUUCGCGGCUAGCUGUUGUAUAAUAUAAAAUCCGUCACGCUGGAUAAGAUGGCGCGUUACCGUGAGUGGGACCUGCAGUGCAAGGUUUACGUGGGCAAUUUGGGCUCGUCGGCGUCGAAGCACGAGAUCGAAAGUGCGUUCGGCAAGUAUGGCCCGCUGCGGAACGUCUGGGUGGCACGCAAUCCUCCCGGUUUCGCCUUCGUAGAGUUCGAGGAUAAGCGUGAUGCGGAGGACGCAGUUCGCUCGCUGGAUGGAACACGAUGCUGCGGAACGCGUAUCCGGGUGGAGAUGUCUUCUGGCCGCUCGCGACGCGACGAACGCACCCGCCGACCCCGCCGCUCGUACAGGGCAAACUCUUCUAUGAUACUACUACUACUACUACUACUCCACGACAGCGUCUUCCGCCACAGAACAUCAUCUUGUCCAAAUUUUGCUAGUAGCGCUACUAGUGUUAAGUCUACUACCGCAACCACCACCACCACCACCACCACCAUCAAUUCCACCAAUUUUACCACCACCAUCACAACCACCAAAAAUACAACCACCACCACCACCACUACUACUACUUCUACUACUACUUCCACCACCAACAAUACUUCUACUGCGAGCAAGAGCUCCGGCCGGUGCGGCUCAAUCUCUUCUAGACCCGAUCAUUCGUUUUCCGGCGACCAACACCACCACCACCACCAUUACUACUGCUACUACUUCUACCAUUACUACUACUGCUACCACUCCUGCCGCUACUGCGUGCAUGCGCACGUGCUUCUUCCUGUACUUCCGCAAGCGCCCGUCGCCGCAACACCACUACUGGCAGCAGUGGCAGCAGCAGCAACAGCAGAAGCAGCAGCAGCAACAACAGCGGCAGCGACAGCACUGCGCUUCCUCUUGCAGCGGGCUUCAGCAACGGCAGCGGCCCUCCAAUCUGACGGCCUACAGUUCUGCAGUUUGCUUCCCCUUCUACUGCUACUACUACUACCACUGCUACUACCACCACCACCACAACAACAACUACUACCUCUACUGCUACUAGUUCAUCAUCUUCCUCCACAUCCUCUCCAUCAUCGGCUGGACAGUAGCGACGGUCGCCUGAGCAGCACCACCACGCCCCGUUCUUCUUCGCCGCGACACGUGCCGCCUUCAUCCAGUGCCCGCGCCUCGUCCCCCGUGGUGAACACAGGCCCCACUUUGGUAUCGUCAACCCUUGACGAGCAGAAGGCAUCAUCGAACACACACACUCUUUGCCACCUUGGCCGACCAGUUGGUGUCUUGAUUUUCCCCCACCGACUGCUGCCCCGUGCCCAAAACUGUGAACGUUGAGUAUGAUGCGCCUCUAACUGGCUGCUUGCAGAAGAACGGAUCAGCAGAUCACACACUCAGGUCUCCCGUUCCGGCACUCAUCCAACUACCUUCUUCUCCACCGUUUGAUGCGGUGUUCUUGGGAGGGGAAGAGUGCGCUCAACGUAACAUGGAGGUCCUCGAUCUUCAGCGCCAUCUCACACACAUUGACACACAGACACGCACAGUAUGAUGGGCCGCUUGCUCGAAUCGCGCGUCUAUCCUCUCGUUCUCCCUGCAUCCUGCGACUCUUCUGGUAAGCCGAAGGUCACCGGAGCAGGAGUGGAUGAAGCCAACGCGAAGUCAUCGCAACAAACCGCCAACCAGCCAGCCAAACCACCCCGCCGAUGGCUUCCGCUCAUCCCCUCCCGCUCCGGCCAAGCUUGGCGCGAGUCUCCGGAUUCUUUCUCUGUUUUUUUUUCUUUUCUUUUUUUCUGUAUCUCUUUCCCAGUGAGAUCGCUUCAGUUCGCGUUUGUGCUUCGGCCAUCACGCUGUUUUUCGGCGCAGCUUGUAUUGCUGUGCGCACUGCCAAAGAACCAACCUGUCGUCGCUCUGUCCCCAUCUUUGGGGUGGGGCGCCCAUCAACCCACGCGAACACACACACAACUUGCCAUCAUCUCAUCCUUGAGCUUCGGCUGCGCGCUACUAUGCUACGGGGUGUGGGGAGCUUUACUGCGCCGAUCCUUUUGCACCGCCGCCUGCCAACUUUAUCAUCACCACCGACCAUACUCCACCGAUCCUCUUCUCUACUGUACUUCUAUGUACUACCUACUACUACUACUACUGCCAACACUUCUUUGCUACUACUACUACCACCACUACUGCUACUUGUCCUGCACCAUCAUCGUCAUCAAAUGGGCGACGUCUUUUUGCAAAACGGGUUAAAGCUGCAAAGAACACGUUCUCGACGAUGUUGUUCGUCGUGGUUUCUGCCGUGCUGCUCGACCUCUUCCAGCGCAACCUCUUCACGCCGUAAAGGCUGCUUUCUUCUACUGCUAGCUCACCAUAAUUGCUACGGUGCUGUGCUGCCUAUUUUGGUGUAUUUUAUGAACCAUCAUACCACCACCACCAACAACAACACCACCGGGAUGGACUUUAUUAUCCCUCGGGCUCUUCUUGUUGCGACCAUCUUGGACCACUUCUUGGCAUGAUACGGCUUUGCGCAUCGCUCGGUGAGCUUCGUCGUCGUGCAUCACAUCACCGUUUUGUGUGCAGUUAAUUCCCCAACGGCGAGCAGCAACAGCAGCGAUAGCAAACAGGCCCCAUAUUAAUAGUUCCCACUCCGCUAGUUUUAACGCUAUUGAACCAUCGCAACUGUAAGUGAACUGAAACCAUUAUUCCUUUUCAAAAACACCAGAAUUCAUUACUGUGUGAUGUGCGUAAAUAAUGUAUCUUUAGAUCUUAGGCGGGAGAACCCAUCGCUACUGUGGUUUGCCCACUACUCUCGUUCAAGCUCUUCCUUCCCUUCGACACAACGUCACCAACCAACCAACCUACCAACCAGCCAACACACGACCCAAUCAAGCAUCACUCUCUCUCUGCCUCUUUCACCAUCUGCCACGUUGACUGUGCUACUAUUAUUACUACAACGACAACAUAACAUCAUCUUCAUCCAUCUUCAUUCGACUGGCUGUGCUAAGCGACAAGCAAUUCUCUCUACCGACUUGACCGACUUGAACAAAUGGACAUCCCUAUGGGAAAGGAUCUUCUCUUACUCGCCGUGGCUCCACAAGUCUCUCUAUAAAAAUCAACUAAACAACAAUCGUGCGUUCCAACACACAAAGAAACAACACGUGGCCAACACACCUUCGGUAAAAUCAUCCACCACCACCACCACCAAUCCUCUCCCCGUACGCUGCUCGUGUGUAGCAUCUUUACACUGUCUUCAGCCCACCACCACCAGCCCGUGAACUCCUCGCCUCUUCUUCCUCAACGGUGGCUGUACGCAGCACACGUGCGCAACAGAAAGAAUCCAAACGCAACUGAGAAGAUCACGCCCAACAGUUCUUAAAAUUGGAUCGAAAAUCAAAAAUCAAAGCUUCUUCCUCUUCACCACCACCACCACCACUACAACACCAACCACCAAAAAACCACAUCCACCACCACCACCAUCUUAAAAAUGCUCCACAACGUGUGUGUGUUUGCGCUCGAUCGCUCGCUCGCUUUCUCUUCUCAUCUCUUCUUCCGUUUCCGGAAAAGGUAGGAUGUAUCACGCAGCCGCAGCAUGAGCCGUGAGCGCGAUCGCGACCGUCGCAGCCGCAGUGGAUCUCGCGACCGGCGCUAAACACGGGAAGGAGAGAGGGACGCUUCUUUUUGGGGGAUGUGAGACACGCAAACGAUGAGAUCAGCACCCAGGACAGGAAAUAACCAACAAGAUGAAGAAGCAAGCAGAUGCAGAGAGCAAACGUGUGUGUGUAUGUGUAAAAUGCAAAAUGCAAACGAAAGUGGUGUUUUUGAAUAGGAUUAAAACACACACACACACACACUCUCAACCCAACGAGAGAGCCCUCAACGACCGCGUGCAGAACUGUCCCCCAGCCACCCCCUACACCACCACCACCACCAUCCCAGAACCACCACAACCCCCAAACAAGAAAUGGACUACCAAACACAUGUGGCUGCACGCGUGAGUGUUCUCUUGUUUUCAUUACUUUUAUUAAGUAAUCUGUAUUAGCUGGUAAGCAGACUAUAAGAAUUUUACAAUAGACUACCCGAGAAACUUGCUGAGGAAAAUUUGAAUUAUGAAUAGUUUUACACACACACAAACGUAUAUCGACAUCGAUCGAACAGAGGAGAAAAGGACAUACAAACAAUUGCAUUGCAAAAUGAGAGAGAGCAAAUACCUUCUUGAUGAAGGUAAGAGAAGAGUAUUCGACGACACAAACACGCAGUAGGACGCGCGGAUCAGAGAAGGCCAAGGGGGCCUACCUUUCAACGACACAGCAAAGUUGUGAGUGGCGACAGUACAUACGAGUGAACCACAAAAAGUAUUUGAUACAAUUUCACCCCUCCCCUUUUACCACACUCCCGUGGGGUGUGUGUGUGUGUGCGCGCGAGUGAUACGUUAAAUCUCGAAACGUUCUUGUAUAUUUUCUCCAACGCAAUCAACUUUUUUUUUGCUUUGCUGCAAUAGUCAAGCGAAAAAAGCUCGCUAUCGUCAAUGGUGGACGUAUAUUUGUUUACUCCAUAUUUCACACACAUACACAUUUUGAACGUCCUGGCUCCCUCUCCAAUACACUUGCCGUUUCCUCUCAAAUCCUUUAAGUGUAGAGUAAGACAUCAAAGCAGGCUAGAAAAUGAUGGUGGCGCGCACGUGCUCUGCGCCAUCAUCGUAGUAACUUUCGGUUUGAGUAUUUUCUCCUCCCCUCUCUUCACACAAAUAUGGUUUUAUUUUUGGCAUUGGAUAUAUGGCAAAUGGCAUUGGAUUGUUGUAGCGUGUGUGUGUCUGUCUCUCGGUUUUGUAUUAUAAAGAAGGUGACUCUCACUCUCCCAUACCUAGGUAAGCUUCUUUGGGGCGCUUUUCUUUGCCAAAACGCGUGCGUGUAUUAUGCUGCUGCGUGUAGCAUCUUAUUUCUGUUUUCCUCCUUAAAGUAAUACAUACUUAGUGAAUAGAAUCUUAAAGUAUAUAACGAAUAAUAAAUGAAGCAGUCGACGACGGUGCACGAAGUACA